GAAUAUUGGUCAAUAGCCUAACGGCUGAACCAGCAACUUGGAGGAAUGUAUAGCGAAAGCUAGUUGUAUUAGCAGGCAAUGGUUAAUACAAUAUCGACUAUGUCGACUAAAGUUCUAGGUAGAGUAAUGAUAAUGACAUUUUUUACCUAUGUGUCUUGACCAAGUCACGUGCCAGCAGUCGCGGCAAUACGUGGAAGACGAGUGUUAUUCAUCUUUAAUAGGUUUAAAGGGUACCCAGACGGUAUAUUUAGCCCAAAAAAGGUACUAAAUAAACUAGAGUUUAAUGUGAGGGGGAUCUAUAGUACUAAUGGUGUAGAGAUGAAAUUCUGUGAUACCAAGAGGUAACUGGUAACGGCGAAAGCAACCCUUUAUGCAAAAACUGACGUUGAAGG
rnacentral:rRNA from 1 species